CUUAGUUUGAUUAAUAAAUUAUAUCAAAAAACUUGGGGAUAGAAAGAGGCUUUUUUUUCCCCCUGUAGUAUUUUUAAAACUUUUUAGAUGAGCUGGAUGAAACCUUAGUACAUUGGAGCUGGAGUUGUAUUGAGUACAGCCCCAACUCUGAAGCCUUAUAUUCAUGUCUUAAGUACCAUUGAUUGUUCUGUGAAUUGUUGUUAGUUUCAUAUUUGACAUUGUAGUAAUCCACCUUGCAUUUUAGUCUUUGCAAAAAGGAUAUUGCUAGGUAUAUUCUUAUUUCUGAUUGAGUAUUGAAUUUACAUUUUUCAGAAUUUCAUUCUUUGUCAUUAUAAUCCAAAAACAAUGUCCACAUCAGACUUGGAACUUCUCACUUCAAAAAUGAAAUACAGAUUUAGCAGUGUUGUACAUAAUGAUGUCCAAGCAUUUUUCCACCUGUUUACUGAGUUUUCCAACCAUUUACUAUGUGUUGAGAUUGGUGGGUUUUCUGGCUGUUUUUCUGAGGUGAAUGACUUGUUACAGAGCCUCAGUAAGAAAUUUCAACUAAAAUCACAAAAACAUAAAGUCCAGGAAACCACCAGAAGAUGGAUUUUUAGUGUUUUUGAAAUCUUGUAUUUCCUUUUGAUAUCAUUUACUCAUUUUAAUUUUACGACUGCCAACUUGUUACGGUAUUAAUUAUAUGUAUGUGUUUAUAUGUAUGCAUAUAAUAUAUGUAUAUGUAUAUGAAGAAUAAAGUUAAGAUUUGGUCAAACUAUAUUUUCCCAUUCAAGUACAAAAAUGUUUUCAAGGCUGCAAAAAGUGUACAGUUGCCAUUUACAUUUAAUAAAAUUGU
rnacentral:lncRNA from 1 species